GGCGUGCUUACCAUGCAAGUCGAACGGGAUUUAGUAACAGAAGCCUCGGUGGAAGAUUACUAAUGAGAGUGGCGAACGGGUGAGUAACGCGUGAGCAACCUGCCUAUGACAGUGGGAUAGCCUCGGGAAACCGGGAUUAAUACCGCAUAAAAUCGUAGAAACACAUGUUUCAACGGUCAAAGAUUUAUCGGUCAUAGAUGGGCUCGCGUCUGAUUAGCUAGUUGGUGAGAUAACAGCCCACCAAGGCGACGAUCAGUAGCCGGUCUGAGAGGAUGAACGGCCACAUUGGAACUGAGACACGGUCCAAACUCCUACGGGAGGCAGCAGUGGGGAAUAUUGCACAAUGGGGGAAACCCUGAUGCAGCGACGCCGCGUGAACGAAGAAGGUAUUCGUAUCGUAAAGUUCUGUCCUAUGGGAAGAUAAUGACAGUACCAUAGAAGAAAGCUCCGGCUAAAUACGUGCCAGCGGCCGCGGUAAU
rnacentral:rRNA from 1 species